rnacentral:misc_RNA from 1 species
GAAAAAUCAGCCGCCGCUCUGCUUCAGCAGAAUCUCGCCGCCGAAGCGCUCCUAUCCUUAUCCCCUGCGCGCCGUCGUUAUCCCGUCGGCCGCCGCUGUUCUCGCCUUCAUCUGCUCGGUCGCGCGCUCUCCCUGGUACUUUCCUGGCGCGCGCUUCUCUAGCUCGUGGAGCUCCUCCUCUGCCGAGCGAUUUUCCACUGCGGGCGCAGCUCCAGCUCGUCCCCAUGGCGGUCGCCGUCGAGCUCCCUCGCGGCGACUUUCCCCUGCCAGCUCUUUGCCCAUUCCUGGUCGCGUCUCCCUCCUCUGCUCGCGUCCCGCCAUGGCCGCUGUCCGGCCGAGCCCUGCCCCAGCCGGAUCUCGCCUCUCCCUACAGUUCGCUCUCUCCCCCCUCCAUCUCUCUCCAGUCGUGCGCCCCUCCGCUCUGCGUGGAGUUUCCCCGUCGUGCCCCUGCUCAUCUUCCCUUGGCCGCGGGCCCUUGCCAUGCUCGCCGAGCUCCCUCUGGUCUUCUCUGCUCGCCGAGAUUCUCCCUGGUGCCGCGUCGUGCCCUCCCCUCGGUUUUCAACGUUGAACGCCGCCAUCUUUCUGGUGUUCUGCGCUGGCCGCAGAUCGAAGCUUUGCUGUGCGCCCAGUCGAGCGAUCCCCUGCGCGCGCGUUCCCUGCACUUGCCCCAGCCGCGCUCUGGCCGUCCCAGCUCCACUCGGCGCCCCCUCGGCUCGCCCCCAUGGUGCUGGUCGUGUCCCUCGGCGCCGGUCGCUUCUUCUUGCUAUUCCAUGCCGCGGCAAUCGCCCUGCUGCUCCAGUGCGCCCAGCCGAGCGAUUCUCUGUUCCGUGCGCGCGGUAUUUCUCGAGCAUGCCGCGCCCAGUCCCUGCUCCUUGUUUUUCUCUGCGACGUGGAGUCUCCUCGCCGCGCGGAUCUCUCUCCUUCCUACCAUGUUCGGAUUGUGCCGCGCUUCCUGUCGCGUUCGGCCUGCUCCGGAUCCGAAGUUGGUCGCCUCGGUGCGAAAUCGCCGUCACGUCCGGGGUUUUGACAUGUCUCCCUGCUCGCCGUCAAACUUGGGUUCCCUGCUCAGCCUUUAGCGCUAGCGCGUCGCCGUGAUGUUACCGUCUCGCCGUGAUUCCCUGAUGGUUCGUGUCUCUGCAUGUUCAAAUCGUCGUUCCGCGCGUCAGCAAGAAAUUCCAAGAAUCGGGUGAAGACGAAGCUAGCAGCGCGAUAUUCCCUAAGCGCUCGACAAAUUGCCUGGAUCGGAAAAUCGCUACCGAUCUCGCGGAUUCGUGUCAGCUGUUGAAACGGUGCGAUAAUUAAUCAUGUGAUGCGGAAGAUGACUCAAGUAUCCCCAAGCGCGGGCUAAUCCGCAGGAUGAUGCUGAUGGACGAACCGGAAGAUGGAUAAUCUGAACGAGUGCCAAGCCAAAGGAUGCUCGCCAAGUGGUCGCCUAACAAACACUAACCUAGUGUUACCCAGGUUAUAGUUUUGUGCUGCUGAUGAUGGUGUUAAGUGCCGGUGGGCUCGGCCUUCUUAUAAGUCUAAGUAACCCUUCUAUACGUCUUACUGAGGAUGGUCACUUGAGCUAGCAUAUAUUUCAAACUUAUACUUUUGUAAUCACUCCGAUAAAAUAAUCUAAAAUUUUUGUAACCUG